UUCUGAUUGGCACAUCAACAAAAGGGGAAAGGACUGCAAAUUGUUUGACUUAUUUUAAAGCAUAAACUAAGCUUCUCAUGAAGCUAGAUAGUUAAAAGCAUCAUACCUCUAUAAAGGGUACCAGGGAGUACCAACCCUUGGGUAUUUUUAUGGGGGAGGGGGAAUUUAGCGUUAGAUUCCUAGCAGUGGCAUGGAAGUUAGGUUGAUGUAUCACUUGAACCUUUGCCAUGCCUUAGGCCCUGAAUCAAGACCAAUGUUUGCUGUAGCUAUUGGUUUCAAAUGGGAGCCAAGAGAUAACUUCCCUUGGUCUCUUGGCUAUUCAGUAUCUCAGUGGGAAUGGCCAGUUCAUUUGGAAGAAGCGUGGUUUAGAAUAUUUCUUUUUCUGAUAUUUGUUUUAUGGUAUUUGGGGUUGAACUUAGGGUCUUAGGCAUGCUAGGCAAGAGCUAUACCAGUGAGCUAUAUCUCCAGUCCUUUUUAUUUUUGUUUUGAGAUGGGGUCUUGCUAAGUUGCCCAGG
rnacentral:lncRNA from 1 species